UACGGAGGGAGCUAGCGUUGUUCGGAAUUACUGGGCGUAAAGCGCGCGUAGGCGGUUUUUCAAGUCAGUGGUGAAAGCCCGGGGCUCAACCCCGGAAUAGCCUCUGAAACUGGAAAACUAGAAUCUUGGAGAGGUCAGUGGAAUUCCGAGUGUAGAGGUGAAAUUCGUAGAUAUUCGGAAGAACACCAGUGGCGAAGGCGACUCACUGGGCCAUUACUGACACUGAGGUGCGAAAGCGUGGGUAGCAAACAGG
rnacentral:rRNA from 1 species